rnacentral:rRNA from 1 species
AUCUGGCUCAGAUGAACGCUGCGGCAGGCCUAACACAUGCAAGUCGAACGGUAACAGGAAACAGCUUGCUGUUCGCUGACGAGUGGCGGACGGGUGAGUAAUGUCUGGGAAACUGCCUGAUGGAGGGGGAUAACUACUGGAAACGGUAGCUAAUACCGCAUAACGUCGCAAGACCAAAGAGGGGGACCUUCGGGCCUCUUGCCAUCGGAUGUGCCCAGAUGGGAUUAGCUUGUUGGUGGGGUAACGGCUCACCAAGGCGACGAUCCCUGGCUGGUCUGAGAGGAUGACCAGCCACACUGGAACUGAGACACGGUCCAGACUCCUACGGGAGGCAGCAGUGGGGAAUAUUGCACAAUGGGCGCAAGCCUGAUGCAGCCAUGCCGCGUGUAUGAAGAAGGCCUUCGGGUUGUAAAGUACUUUCAGCGGGGAGGAAGGGAGUAAAGUUAAUACCUUUGCUCAUUGACGUUACCCGCAGAAGAAGCACCGGCUAACUCCGUGCCAGCCGCAGC